UACAGAGGGUGCGAGCGUUGUUCGGAAUUAUUGGGCGUAAAGAGCUUGUAGGCGGUUUGUCGCGUCUGCUGUGAAAAUCCGGGGCUCAACCCCGGACUUGCAGUGGGUACGGGCAGACUAGAGUGUGGUAGGGGAGACUGGAAUUCCUGGUGUAGCGGUGAAAUGCGCAGAUAUCAGGAGGAACACCGAUGGCGAAGGCAGGUCUCUGGGCCACUACUGACGCUGAGAAGCGAAAGCAUGGGGAGCGAACAGG
rnacentral:rRNA from 1 species